rnacentral:ribozyme from 13 species
AAGAAAAGCGAAAAGAGAGAGAGGAAAAUAAGAUGAAGGAAAAAGAGAACGAAUCCUCUUCUCGUUCUUCUACCAUUCAUCCCUCUUCUUCUCCCUCUUCUG